rnacentral:rRNA from 1 species
UACGUAGGGUGCAAGCGUUGUCCGGAAUUAUUGGGCGUAAAGAGCUCGUAGGCGGUCUGUCGCGUCUGCUGUGAAAACUCAGGGCUUAACCCUGAGCUUGCAGUGGGUACGGGCAGACUAGAGUGCGGUAGGGGAGACUGGAAUUCCUGGUGUAGCGGUGAAAUGCGCAGAUAUCGGGAGGAACACCCGUAGCGAAGGCGGCACUCUGGGCCGGAACUGACGCUGAGGAGCGAAAGCGUGGGGAGCAAACAGG